rnacentral:lncRNA from 1 species
UUUGAAUCAAAGAAGCCCGAACAAAAGCUGUGGGUCCAUUAGCAGUAUAUGGGUGGCAAAAAUUUCACGUGUUGAAAUACAUUUGCUGUGACUGAAUUCGCCCUACAAAAUAGCAAAUGUUUCCUGAACAAUUCCUAAAGACAGUGAAUCACAACUAAAUUAAACAACAACAACAAGAUCUCGAAACAAGUAGGGAUAGGCUAGAGCUGAAACCCAUACGAUCUCGAAACCAACUCAUGGUUCUUGAAUCACAUCUGAGAUGAAACAAAAGAAAGUAAAUAUUGUAACGUGGUAUAAAAUAACAUAUGCCUGCCAUUAGAAUAUGAUAUUUUAUAUAAAAAUAUAUAUAAUGAUGAUAUACUGCAGGAUACAUAUCGUACCAACGUGAGAGCUAGCAACAACAGAAGCAAAAUAAAAUCAAAAUGCAUCACCACACUGGCCAAUACACAUUGGAUGGAUAACGAUAAUAAAGUGUGCUAUGUCAGGUCAAUUUUGCUAAAAAAUCCGAAUGGGUAGGCACACACCACUUUUCUUUUGUAACAACAGUGUUAGAGUUCGAUGUGGACUAUGGACAUGCUGCUACCUGCCUUCCUAGCUGCACAAUGGGAACACAAUCCCCCAUAUGAUAAAGCAAGAUACAGAAUAUCCCUAUUACAAAACAGGGUAUGUUUCUAGGUAUUAAUCAUACCAUAUCCUUUCAAAUGGCUAGGUGCUGCGAAACUGAUACAAACAGCAGUCACAGAUAAGUCUCAGAAAAAUAAGUAGCAUUGGAGGUACCAACCAUUAAAGGAAUGGAACUAAGGCUAAUGUAGACGUAUGCCAUCCAGUUGCAAGGCUGUAAGUCUGCAAUUUCCAUAAAAAAAGGUAAAAGGUGCAUGCCAUCCAGUUGCAAGGCUGUAAGUCUGCAAUUUCCAUAAAAAAAGGUACAAGGUGCAAGGUGCAUCAGAGGAAAGCACUAGUGGAUACUAACCAUAACUGCCUCCCAGAAGGAACAUUCUUAUCGACGCUCCAUAUUGAUCAUAACUCCAGUAAAUAAAAGGAAUGCUCUUGACAAAGAGCAAAGAGAGUGCAAAAGAGUUGCAUGAAAGCCCAAUUUUGUCUAAUAAAAUAUGGUUUGUCUGACAACUUGGAGACUCAAACCGAGGAAGUCCCGGAUGUUAAACAGGUGCGCCAAACAGUAAUAAACACAAGCAAAUACUCUACCUUCUGAGUUGCUGAGUUACAUUGUAAAACGAGAAGCAAUAAUUCAACACGAAAAUAAGGUGAAUAAUAUAAAACUUAGCUGAUCAUUUCUAUGUCUAAUGACCUAAGCCAUUGCAUUGUUGGAUGCAUGGUACUCAACCUCUAGAUGAACUUGACUCAUAGCCAUGUGAAUUGUAUGCAUUUCGUCUACGUUUUUUCUUCUUCUGAUAGUUCGGUUGUAUACUAAUACACUGAAGCAUAACACACAUUAUCAAGGAAGCUAUUGAAGCUGGGGCUGAAUGCUCAAUAGAAUUUUAUAACUUCUCGACGAUACUACCAGAGCCUAAGACAAGUCUGUUAGUUGCAUAUCUCCCAAGCUUCCUGAAUACACCAUAUGGGUGGUGAGUGCUGACAUGCUGGUAUGGCAACGAAGAUAAGUAUGAGUACAGAGAAAUGUUACUGACUGAACGAAAACUGUAUAUCUCCACCUUAAAUUGGAUAUUACAAUAGAAGGGCAUAUUCGUCCUAAUAUUUCCUCCCUGACCGUUUCUUCACAAAACGCACCAAAUAUUCUUAAUUAUGUUCCAAAUAAUAUUCGUAUUCACAUUUAGCCCAAGAGAAAAUAGAAAGGGUGAAGGACAGCUGGCUGGGCCCAUAUAGGCCUAUGCUCGCAGCAAACGCGGCCACACGCAAAGAAGCCCUAGGGCUGCCCUUGCGCUUGACAGCCACCACCCAUGGGGCGGAUGCAGCGCCGCCAGGCCAGCGCCUCCACAAGAGCAGUUCCAUGAUGCCCUCUUCCACCAAAAGGGUUGCCAUCUUCCUACGCCGGCGGCCUGGCGCAUCGAUUCAGUGUUCCUUGUGCGUCUCGGCACCGCCGGCUGAUGAAUCACCAAGCCGCUCCUUCCGCCGAGGCAAGCGAAGCCACCUCUUCCUCAUGGCUUGCUGGGUUGGAGCGCCAUUGCUGUCGCAUGGAGCAGGCAUCGCCCGAUGGAUUAAGGAAGCGAUGUCAAGGAUUCUCCAAGGGCAGCAUCGAGGGUUCCCAGGUUAGAUCUGGCAUUGAUAGGGUUUGCUUAGGGUUUAUAGUUAUGGAUCUAAUGGCUUUCGUGGGGUUGGAUCCGGAUCUCUUUAGGGGGAGUAAGGGUGGGAUAUCAUGAUUUCUUAAUUUUGAAAGUCAAAGUUCCCCAAUACUCUUUGAUGCCAGCAUCUCCAGGUAUCGAACACACAUAUGGCAGUUUGGCAAAGUGGUGGGGCAUAAAGCCCAUGGAUAGUUACUGUCAUAUUGUAGAACCAGAAGUCAGAAGUUAGUCCACAACACAAAGGGCAGGUCCUAGAAUGUAUUGUGGAUGUGCUAGAUUAUAAUUUCUUCUAAAAAAAUUCACUUCAUGAUUUUUUGGGGGGCACUUCAGGAGGUAUUGAACCACGAAACAUAGGGAGGUAUCAAAGAGUGAUAUGAGAAAAAAAAAUUGGAAGUCAAAGUUCCCCAUAGCCCCCAACGUGUGUAUUCCCAGGUAUUGGACACACAUAUGGCAGUUUGACAGAGUGAUGAGGGUGGUUACUGUCAUACUGUAGAACCAGAACUCAGGAGUUAGUACAUGACACAUAAGGAAGGUCCUGGAAUAGGUUGUGGAUGUCCUAUGUUAGAAUUUGUUGUAUAUAGCACAUUUCGGAAAUAUUUUUCCUGAAUAAGGCAUUACCGAUAUUCUUCAUCUGAGCAAAUUGCCUUCGGUAGCUUCACAGCCAAUUGC